UACGGAGGGUGCAAGCGUUAUCCGGAUUCACUGGGUUUAAAGGGUGCGUAGGUGGGCAAGUAAGUCAGUGGUGAAAUCUCCGGGCUUAACCCGGAAACUGCCAUUGAUACUAUUUGUCUUGAAUACUGUGGAGGUCAGCGGAAUAUGUCAUGUAGCGGUGAAAUGCUUAGAUAUGUCAUAGAACACCGAUUGCGAAGGCAGCUCACAAAGCCAUUAUUGACGCUGAGGCACGAAAGCGUGGGGAUCAAACG
rnacentral:rRNA from 1 species